GACGAACGCUGGCGGCGUGCUUAACACAUGCAAGUCGAACGGAAAGGCCCUGCUUUUGUGGGGUGCUCGAGUGGCGAACGGGUGAGUAACACGUGAGUAACCUUCCCUUGACUUUGGGAUAACGUCAGGAAUCUGGGGCUAAUACCGGAUAGGAGCUCCUGCUGCAUGGUGGGGGUUGGAAAGUUUCGGCGGUUGGGGAUGGACUCGCGGCUUAUCAGCUUGUUGGUGGGGUAGUGGCUUACCAAGGCUUUGACGGGUAGCCGGCCUGAGAGGGUGACCGGGCACAUUGGGACUGAGAUACGGGCCAGACUCCUACGGGAGGCAGCAGUGGGGGAUAUUGCACAAUGGGCGGAAGCAUGAUGCAGCAACGCCGCGUGCGGGAUGACGGCCUUCGGGUUGUAAACCGCUUUCGCCUGUGACGAAGCGUGAGUGACGGUAAUGGGUAAAGAAGCACCGGCUAACUACGUG
rnacentral:rRNA from 1 species